GUCCACGCCGUAAACGGUGGGUGCUAGUUGUGGGUUCCAUUCCACGGAAUCCGUGACGAAGUUAACACAUUAAGCACCCCGCCUGGGGAGUACGGUCGCAAGACUAAAACUCAAAGGAAUUGACGGGGGCCCGCACAAGCGGCGGAGCAUGCGGAUUAAUUCGAUGCAACGCGAAGAACCUUACCAAGACUUGACAUAUAGAGGAAAAGCUUAGAAAUAAGUUCCCCGCAAGGUCUCUAUACAGGUGGUGCAUGGUUGUCGU
rnacentral:rRNA from 1 species